rnacentral:rRNA from 1 species
GUAGGCGGCAAGCGUUGUCCGGAAUUAUUGGGCGUAAAGCGCGCGCAGGCGGUUCUUUAAGUCUGAUGUGAAAGCCCACGGGCUCAACCGUGGAGGGUCAUUGGAAACUGGAGAACUUGAGUACAGAAGAGGAAAGCGGAAUUCCACGUGUAGCGGUGAAAUGCGUAGAGAUGUGGAGGAACACCAGUGGCGAAGGCGGCUUUCUGGUCUGUAACUGACGCUGAGGCGCGAAAGCGUGGGGAGCAAACAGGAUUAGAUACCCUGGUAGUCCACGCCGUAAACGAUGAGUGCUAAGUGUUAGGGGGUUUCCGCCCCUUAGUGCUGCAGCUAACGCAUUAAGCACUCCGCCUGGGGAGUACGGCCGCAAGGCUG